CCUACGGGAGGCAGCAGUAGGGAAUAUUUGACAAUGGCCGUAAGGCUGAACGAGCAAAGUCGCGUGAAGGAAGAAGGAUCUAUGGUUUGUAAACUUCGUUUAUAGGGGAAUAAAGGUAUCCACGUGUGGAUAUUUGCAUGUACCCUAUGAAUAAACAUCGGCUCACUCCGUGCCAGCAGACGCGGUAAUACGGAGGAUGGGAGGGUUAUCCGGAUUUAUUGGGUUUAAAGGGUGCGUAGGUUGUUUUUUAAGUCAGCGGUGAAAGUUUGUGGCUUAACCAUAAAAUUGCCGUUGAAACUGGAAGACUUGAGUGUGUUUGAGGUAGGCGGAAUGCGUGGUGUAGCGGUGAAAGGCAUAGAUAUCACGCAGAACUCCGAUUGCGAAGGCAGCUUACUAAUCCAUAACUGACACUGAAGUACGAAAGCGUGGGGAUCAAACAGGAUUAGAUACCCCUGUAGUC
rnacentral:rRNA from 1 species